AAUCAAUUAAAUAUGGAAAAUUUGAUUUUCUGGCACUGGGUACCGGUACUAGGUAUUGGGUACUGGUACGAGGCAAACCGGUACUGUUAAACUUGAGUGUUUAAAAACUUGUUUUUGAACUGGGUACCGAUACGCGGGUUCAUGUACCGGUACGAGGUCUGCGGAAUUAUUUUUAAAUACCGGUAUUGUGUUUUAUUUUUCCUCCAAUACUUCAUAAAACUCUUCCUUUCUCUCUCUAAAAAUCCCCUAGCAUCUUUCUCACCCGGAUCUACAAGUUUUCUGCAGA
rnacentral:lncRNA from 1 species